CAGGAAGUAACGCGCGGGGGCCGGAAGUUGCUUGUCACGUGACCCUGUGUGACUCUUGCGGGGCCGGGCGCGGCCAUAUUUGCUCGUGUUAUCCGUAAUACAAAAGCCAGGACUUAAUCUUUUUGACUUGUUUACAGCUUCAUAGAAAAUUUUCAUUCCAGGCCUUGCUGCCUGCUGGAGACCUACCGCUUUGUACUGUGCUUGCCCAUUCGUUCUUGUUCCCUAGGGACGAGGGGGUGGCUUCUAAGACGGAGUCACAGUUGGAGCCUCUCCGAAGAUGGGGCAGUGACUCCUGGGCCCUUAGACUACACGCGCACUGCCAUCCCCAUCUUCCCACUGGAUGGGGGUCUCCUUUCGCAUCCGGGGCAGACAUCUCUUCCCUAGAGAGACGGGCGUUGUGCUGGGAGCUGAAGAUUUAGAGGUGAACAAGAUGUGGAGCCUGCCCUUCUGGAGCCCACAGUCAGACUGGGGUAAGGUGGAGGUGGAUAGAAGCCAAGAGGAGUAAGUGAAGGAUAUGGAAAAUAACAACCCCCAGGGAGACAGGAGGACAGUGUGACCCAGGAGGUGGGAGGAGAAGGCAAACAGUGGGGCCUGGGCUCUGGACUUUCACCCUUUCCCAGCAACAAUUUCGAACUUUCGUAACUGUUUCCCUGAUUUGGGCUUUGAACUUGCACAACUGUUUUCCCUGACUACCCAACCAUCGUACUCUGCAAUGAUUCCAGUCUCCCUUAUUAUGAUCCAGAUCUCACUUAAACACUGUAAAAAUCAGAGACCACACCCCACCCCGUAAUCAACCGCCAGUUUCUCCCCUGAAAAUAUGCCAUUCCGCUGCUUAAUAAAGAAAGCUUGCUUAUUCCUUGA